GUGCUUGCUUUGGCAGCCCAUAUACUAAACUUGGAACGAUACAGAGAAAAUGAGCAUGACUCCUGAGCAAGGAUGACAUGCAAAUUCAUGAGGCAUCCCAUAUAUUG
ensembl:snRNA U6 U6 spliceosomal RNA